UACGAAGGGGGGCUAGCGUUGCUCGGAAUGACUGGGCGUAAAGGGCGCGUAGGCGGCUUGCACCGUCAGAUGUGAAAUUCCUGGGCUUAACCUGGGGGGCUGCAUUUGAUACGUGUGGGCUUGAGUGCGGAAGAGGGUCGUGGAAUUCCCAGUGUAGAGGUGAAAUUCGUAGAUAUUGGGAAGAACACCGGUGGCGAAGGCGGCGACCUGGUCCGUGACUGACGCUGAGGCGCGAAAGCGUGGGGGAGCAAAACAGG
rnacentral:rRNA from 1 species